GACGAACGCUGGCGGCGUGCCUAAUACAUGCAAGUAGAACGCUGAAGGAGGAGCUUGCUUCUCUGGAUGAGUUGCGAACGGGUGAGUAACGCGUAGGUAACCUGCCUGGUAGUGGGGGAUAACUAUUGGAAACGAUAGCUAAUACCGCAUAAUAGCAGUUGUUGCAUGAUAACUGUUUGAAAGGUGCAAUUGCACCGCUACCAGAUGGACCUGCGUUGUAUUAGCUAGUUGGUGGGGUAACGGCUCACCAAGGCGACGAUACAUAGCCGACCUGAGAGGGUGAUCGGCCACACUGGGACUGAGACACGGCCCAGACUCCUACGGGAGGCAGCAGUAGGGAAUCUUCGGCAAUGGACGGAAGUCUGACCGAGCAACGCCGCGUGAGUGAAGAAGGUUUUCGGAUCGUAAAGCUCUGUUGUAAGAGAAGAACGAGUGUGAGAGUGGAAAGUUCACACUGUGACGGUAGCUGACCAGAAAGGGACGGCUAACUACGUG
rnacentral:rRNA from 1 species